UUCAGGGUUCAUUCUUUACUUCAAUAUCCAAUUAGGUCAAACUGCAAAUCGAGUCAGACGAAUUGUCCUCAAGAACUUGGUAUCCAAGCAGCCGUCGUUUCAUAUUUGGUCCUUAACCCCAUACGUUACAAGUUGUUUUCAAUCAUCGGCUUUAAGAGAUGUUAACUCCACCGACACGAAUCAAGCACGACGUCUCAUUCAAUGAUAAUACUCAUCCAACUCCAAGGCGGUUUUCUUUAUCUAUAAAAUGGUUAGCCUUCUACCCUUCACAUUGUUUGGUUCUCCAGAAAAAAAAGGAAAUUCCCAAUCACAAAGGCUUACUCCUCUGUUCUUCUUGUUGAUUUGAAGGUGGAUAUCUAAAACAUUUGUUGGGUUUCAGUUGAUCUUUGGAGCUCGGAUGUGUUUACUCUAAGAUUCUAACCAGAAGACUACUUCUUAAAGGAAGAACCUAGAUUGAACAACCACCAAAUGAAGAAUUAUGGGAAAAGAACCAGCUUCAUUGUCAAACUAAGAUGUUUAGACCACAACAUCAGUAUGAAGGUUGUCUGAGUUAAGAUUUCAGGAGUUUCUGAAUAAAGUGGUUGAUCUUCGGGGGAUUUAUCAUCUAAUCCAGACAAACGCGGAGCUGCCUCCUUUGCUCUCAUGUGAGAGGGGAAGAGUUGGUAUGAAGAAAAGUGAUAACUUGGAUCCAAGAACGGGGAAAUCACGUACAACAAUCAAAGAGCCUAAACUCCUAACAAGUCACCAGCCCAACAGCCAACAGGUAUGUAUUUCAGCAAGCUAUCCUCAUCUAUAUUUAUUGUAUCAAAGCUAAAAAUAGGAAUAAACUGAUGCUUCAAAACCCCGGUUCUUCAUUUGUGAUUUGGUACAUUGAUUUCACAGGAAGCAUAAAAGGAGCCGAGACAGAAAUCAUUCUUUUAUAGUUGUUAAAAAAAAGACAGAUUUCAUUCUUCCAACACCACCGGAGACAUCUCAGUGACAACUAGAAGUGAGGAAAGAAAAUGAUGCAGCUUCAACUCUUACUUAUACAAUCAGCCUACUGGAUCUGCGAGCUAUGUCAGACAAACUGAACUUUCUCUGACCGCAAGUUGAUUUAGAUUUCGAAGACUAUUAAAAAUAGAAAGAGUUAAAAAUGAGAGAAAAAUAACUAGCAUUAGUUUGUCCCAGUUGUGUGUUAUGUUCUAAUGGAAAGUUUAAUUUGUGAUAUUAUUCCUGCUAGAAAGAAAAAAGAAUUGAGCACAAGUAAAAGAAGAAAAGUUUUAAAAACAAAGGGGAAAAGAAACAACUACAACUUACAAAGAAACAAACAAAGUCCGAACAUAGUUGGAAAGACUGAAACUCCGAUUUAGAUCAAAAACACAAAAUUUAUAGCAAGAGAAAGGUUCACCGUUAUCGAAUUAUAGUAUAGAGAAGAGAAUCUUUCUCCUUCUUAACCGCAAUUUUUUUUUCCAAUUUAUUCUUUCACUUUUACAUUUUAUAUUAUUCUUUUGAAUUCAUAACAUAAAGUAACAAAAUGUAGUCGACCAUAAGGAAAGAAAAAAUGUUGGUACGAGAUUAGAUGGUCUUUGAUUAAAUUUUUUUAACAUUGGUUUUACUAAGGUAGAAUAGGACAACCACUCCAAACUCAGAAGAGGACAUAUGAGUUCAAUACUAAAAAUUUAGCGAAAAGGCCUUUACCAUAGGCAAAACAGGAAUCUAAAUGAAAACACCAGUAGGUGCCGUUGAUAUAGCCAGUCUCAACAAAGGGUAGAGGAGAUCUCCAUAGACUGACAAACAAAGGAGUUAAAACAGCCAAACAAUCAAUUAAGAUUCAUGUAAAUCUCCGAUAGAGAUAAAUCUUGAUGAAUGAGAGCACAAAACCGCUGCUUUUGUUUAGAUUAUUGAGUCACUUUUUCAAUUUGAGUAUUGCAAAAUAAAUAUUUCUUCUAUCGAGUAGGAGAUAUCAAAAGCUACAAAGGCAAGGGAGAAAAGGAAUAAGAGAGAAGAA